rnacentral:rRNA from 1 species
UACGUAGGGGGCAAGCGUUAUCCGGAUUUACUGGGUGUAAAGGGAGCGUAGACGGCGAUGCAAGCCAGAUGUGAAAGCCCGGGGCUCAACCCCGGGACUGCAUUUGGAACUGUAUAGCUAGAGUGUCGGAGAGGCAGGCGGAAUUCCUAGUGUAGCGGUGAAAUGCGUAGAUAUUAGGAGGAACACCAGUGGCGAAGGCGGCCUGCUGGACGAUGACUGACGUUGAGGCUCGAGAGCGUGGGGAGCAAACAGG